UACAGAGGGUGCGAGCGUUAAUCGGAAUUACUGGGCGUAAAGCGCGCGUAGGCGGCUUUGCAAGUCGGGUGUGAAAUCCCCAGGCUUAACCUGGGAACUGCAUUCGAGACUGCAUUGCUAGAGUAUGGGAGAGGGAAGUGGAAUUUCCGGUGUAGCGGUGAAAUGCGUAGAUAUCGGAAGGAACAUCAGUGGCGAAAGGCGACUUCCUGGACCAAUACUGACGCUCAUGUGCGAAAGCGUGGGGAGCAAACAGG
rnacentral:rRNA from 1 species